AGGGCGCACGGAGGAUGCCUUGGCACUAGGAGUCGAAGAAGGACGCGACAAACGGCGAAACGCCUCGGGGAGCUGUAAGUGAGCAUUGAUCCGGGGGUAUCCGAAUGGGGAAACCCGCUAGUGGUUAUACGCUAGCACCAUAUGGUGAAUACAUAGCCAUAUAGGAGACAGACCCAGGGAACUGAAACAUCUAAGUACCUGGAGGAAAAGAAAGAAAAAUCGAUUCCCGUAGUAGCGGCGAGCGAAGUGGGAAGAGCCCAAACCGGAUUUAUCCGGGGUUGUAGGACCUUCAUAAUUGACAAAUCAUGAUAGCCGAAUGGUCUGGGAAGGCCAACCGUAGGGGGUGAGAGUCCCGUAGGUGAAAUUGUGAGAUGCAUGGAAGGAAUCCUGAGUACGGCGGGACACGUGGAAUCCCGUCGGAAUCAACGAGGACCAUCUCGUAAGGCUAAAUACUACCUAGUGACCGAUAGUGAACCAGUACCGUGAGGGAAAGGUGAAAAGAACCCCGGAAGGGGAGUGAAAGAGAACCUGAAACCGUGUGCCUACAAAUAGUCAGAGCCCGUUAAUGGGUGAUGGCGUGCCUUUUGUAGAAUGAACCGGCGAGUUACGAUAUCGUGCGAGGUUAAGCAGAAGAUGCGGAGCCGUAGCGAAAGCGAGUCUGAAUAGGGCGAAGAGUACGAUGUUGUAGACCCGAAACCGUGUGAGCUAGCCAUGAGCAGGCUGAAGGUCAGGUAACACUGACUGGAGGGCCGAACCAGGGCACGUUGAAAAGUGCUUGGAUGACUUGUGGCUAGGGGUGAAAUUCCAAUCGAACACGGAUAUAGCUGGUUCUCUCCGAAAUAGCUUUAGGGCUAGCCUCGAUGUUAAGUCUACUGGAGGUAGAGCACUGAAUGGGUGAUGGCCCCACCUCGGGGUACUGAUCUCAAUCAAACUCCGAAUGCCAGAUAGAUAUAAUCGGGAGUCAGACUGUGGGUGAUAAGGUCCAUGGUCAAAAGGGAAAGAGCCCAGACCGCCAGCUAAGGCCCCCAAGUGUCCGUUAAGUGGAAAAGGAUGUGGAGAUGCACAGACAACUAGGAGGUUGGCUUAGAAGCAGCCAUCCUUUAAAGAGUGCGUAAUAGCUCACUAGUCGAGUGACUCUGCGCCGAAAAUGUACCGGGGCUAAACGGACCGCCGAAGCUGCGGAUUGACUUUAGAGUCAGUGGUAGGAGAGCGUUCUAACAGCGGUGAAGCAGUACCGGAAGGAGCUGUGGAGCGGUUAGAAGUGAGAAUGCCGGUGUGAGUAGCGAAAGAUAGGUGAGAAUCCUAUCCAUCGAAAGCCUAAGGUUUCCAGGGGAAGGCUCGUCCGCCCUGGGUAAGUCGGGACCUAAGGUGAGGCCGAAAGGCGUAGCCGAUGGACAACAGGUUGAUAUUCCUGUACCACUUAUUAAACUGAUGGAGUGACGGAGAAGGCUAAGUUGAGCGUGUGAUUGGAUUCACGUGUAAGCAGUGAGGUGGUCAUGUAGGCAAAUCCGCAUGGCAUAACAUUGAGCUGUGAUGCCGAAGCCGAAUGGCGAAGUCAACUGACGUCACGCUUCCAAGAAAAGCUUCUAGGGUUAAUUUAAUAAGUGCCCGUACCGAUAACCGACACAGGUAGGCGAGGAGAGAAUCCUAAGAUGAGCGAGAGAACUCUUGUUAAGGAACUCGGCAAAAUGACCCCGUAACUUCGGGAGAAGGGGUGCUUGUGAAAGCAAGCCGCAGUGAAUAGGCCCAGGCGACUGUUUAUCAAAAACACAGGUCUCUGCUAAACCGCAAGGUGAUGUAUAGGGGCUGACGCCUGCCCGGUGCUGGAAGGUUAAGAGGAGAGGUUAGCGCAAGCGAAGCUUUGAAUUUAAGCCCCAGUAAACGGCGGCCGUAACUAUAACGGUCCUAAGGUAGCGAAAUUCCUUGUCGGGUAAGUUCCGACCCGCACGAAAGGCGUAACGAUCUGGGCGCUGUCUCAACAAGAGACUCGGUGAAAUCAUAGUACCUGUGAAGAUGCAGGUUACCCGCGACAGGACGGAAAGACCCCGUGGAGCUUUACUGUAGCUUGAUAUUGAGCACUGGUGGCACAUGUACAGGAUAGGUAGGAGACGAAGAAACCAGGACGCCAGUCUUGGUGGAGUCGCUGUUGGGAUACUACCCUUGUGUCACUGGGGUUCUAACCCGUGGCCCUUAUCGGGUCAGGGAACAGUGUCAGGUGGGCAGUUUGACUGGGGCGGUCGCCUCCCAAAGAGUAACGGAG
rnacentral:rRNA from 1 species